GGCAAUUAGUUGUCAUGGUGCGGCAGCUGCAGUGAUCUCUCCUUCUCCGAAUAUUGGAUUAGAAAAAGUGGAUUUUCGAUUCGUGUGGCUAUUAGCAAUGAUUGCAUGAGAUUAUUCCUCGGGUUCCUGAGUGGCGCAGCGGUAUAAGGCACUGCAUCUCUAGUACUAGACGCGUCAUUACAGACACCGCGAUUUGAUUCCAGGCUGUGUCACAACUGUCCGUAAUUGGGAGUCCCAUAGGGCGGCGCACAAUUAGCCCAACGUCGUCCGGGUUUGACCGGUGUAGGCCAUCAUUACCUAUUUAAUCCAGGCUGAAUCACAUCCGGCCGUGAUUGGGAGUCCCAUAGUGUGGCGCACAAUUGGCACAGCGUCGUCCGGGAGCGCUGUGCUAGGCAUCUGUGGGAGAAUCAUCACGCCCUGAGCAAGAGUGUGUGUGCUGCACGUGGUCGCUGGAGCGAGACACACUCCAAUGCUGAUGUUAGCCGACAUUCCCCUCAGGCCAGAGAAUGGAGCAUGCGUGGAGACAGUUGUCCCCCCCC
ensembl:lncRNA